CGCCGCCGCCCCUCCGCCGCUCGGGCUUGGGGCCCCACGUGGCGUCCUCGUAGCUGUGGGAAAGAGGUUGAAGUGGACGAGGCUUUGCGACACUUCGUAAAGCGAAGAAAGCAAGUAGUAACGCAGUUUCUACGGGGGGGGGGGGCGUGUGUGUGAACGACGAAGCAAAUUGUGCGUGAUGAUGUGUUUACAUUGUUGUGCACGUGUGUGUGUGUACAUAUAGAAAGAGCCCCAAAAGCACACACGCCAACUGAACAAUCACACUAGGGAUAGGUUCUUACUGUAAAACUCAAGACUUCAAAUACUCAGACAAAAAGACCAGAUUGAAAUGAGGAAAACCUCCGUGAGUACAAGUAACCAAAUGGAGAACAAGCAACAUGGCUAAUUAGAAAUGAAGACCAAUCAUUUGGAAAUGUAGUGAGCGUAAGAGAGGUCCCUACCUCCAAGAAAAUAAGUGAAAACAACAGCCAUUAGGAUCAAUUAUAUUCCUCUUGGAAGAUAGAAAUUCAAAUCCUACAAUUUUAGUAAGUGACCUGGAUGCUCCAGUGCACCACCCGGAUUCCCUUCAGGACUGGAGGAUUGAUCAUUCCAGCUGCGAAGACCACUGUCACCAGACGGUCCUUAGCUGCUAUCUUUCUUUGGAAAAUUACCUGCUGGGAAGAGUCACCUGACCUGAAACUUAUCAACAGGGAGGUUUAUAGGUCACUCUCCAUCUCAGCUGGGCACCACAACUCUGAAGAGUCAUUCCAGCUUUAGAGCACCAAGUGUCAUCACCUGAGGUCUUAAUUUGGACCGCACUACAGCUGUACACCUACUUCUGCUGCUUUCCCAUCCUCUCUUUC